rnacentral:rRNA from 1 species
CAGCAGCCGCGGUAAUACGGAGGAUCCAAGCGUUAUCCGGAAUCAUUGGGUUUAAAGGGUCCGUAGGCGGUCUUGUAAGUCAGUGGUGAAAGCCCAUCGCUCAACGGUGGAACGGCCAUUGAUACUGCAGGACUUGAAUUAUUGGGAAGUAACUAGAAUAUGUAGUGUAGCGGUGAAAUGCUUAGAGAUUACAUGGAAUACCAAUUGCGAAGGCAGGUUACUACCAAUUGAUUGACGCUGAUGGACGAAAGCGUGGGUAGCGAACAGGAUUAGAUACCCGGGUAGUCCCUGUCUCUUAUAA